rnacentral:tRNA from 1 species
CCCUGGGGGGCACAAAUGGUUAACGCUUUUGGCUGCAUACCAAAAGUUGGUGGUUCAAGUCCACCCAGAGGUG